rnacentral:rRNA from 1 species
GACGAACGCUGGCGGCGUGCUUAACACAUGCAAGUCGAACGGAAAGGCCCUGCUUUUGUGGGGUGCUCGAGUGGCGAACGGGUGAGUAACCCGUGAUUAACCUGCCCUUGACUUUGGGUUAACUUCGGGAAACUGGGGCUAAUACCGGAUAGGAGCUCCGGCGGCAUGGUGGGGGUUGGAAAGUUUCGGCGGUUGGGGAUGGACUCGCGGCUUAUCAGCUUGUUGGUGGGGUAGUGGCUUACCAAGGCUUUGACGGGUAGCCGGCCUGAGAGGGUGACCGGCCACAUUGGGACUGAGAUACGGCCCAGACUCCUACGGGAGGCAGCAGUGGGGAAUAUUGCACAAUGGGCGGAAGCCUGAUGCAGCAACGCCGCGUGCGGGAUGACGGCCUUCGGGUUGUAAACCGCUUUCGCCUGUGACGAAGCGUGAGUGACGGUAAUGGGUAAAGAAGCACCGGCUAACUACGUG